GGAAGUGCGGCUGGGCCAGUGACAAUGAGGCAGGAUGCCCGUCACCCUUACCAGCCCGGCGGCGCAGGCAGAGCCCUCCCCCCUCCCAGGGCUGGGGCUCACAGAGGAAUUUCCUGAGGGGAGGGGACCAAGCAUUCCGGAAUGAGAGCCAGCUGUGGAGUUGAGGCCUGGGGGUGAGGAACCGGGCUCUGGGCUUCCUGGCUGAGUCAGCGACCAUCCCCAGCUUUGCUUCCUUGCCUGGAGUCUGCAAAAGCAGCCAGCCUGAGGGAGGAGCCAGAAGAUAGAUGGAAGGCUGCAGAAGGGGAGAAGCCUCCGGCUGGCCCUGGGGGCUCAGGAAGACAGAGGAGGCCAGGCUGGAUGUGAGGGGGCGUGGGCCGGCCUCAGGGCUGAUUUGGGGGUGACGGAGAAUUACUGGCUCCAGCACCCGGCCUGGGAGCCCCCUGCUCCUCCUUCCUUCCUGGCCCCACCCCUUUCUCAGCUGAAGAAGCCCAUCUGGCUUCUAUUCAGCUUCUGCUGUGGACCUGCUGGGUGACAUGGGCUUGGUGCCUCCUCCUUUCCCAGGCUCAAGGCCUUACUUGGGCAAGACGGCCUGGCUUCUUCAAGCCCUGAGGUGGGGCUGCUCGGCCACAGUCAGGGAGCCUGGUCCAAUGGCUUAGCCUGCAAAGCAAGGCUCCGCAGCAGCAGGUCUGGGCCCACUGUAGGCCUUGCCCUUGAAUGCAGAUGGGGCUUGGAUAGGAGAGUAGACAGGGGGAGGCCGUGCCUGGUUCCGGUCACCUCCAGGCCCGAGGAGCCUAGGGAAGCAGCACAGCAUGUGUCAUCCCACACAUACACCCCCCACACCCCAGAUCCCCACAAAAAACCCGUUUCUGUCCGUCUCACCAGCACUGAGCGGGCGGUCCCACAGGAAGACGGGUCCUGACACGAGCUCCGAGGAGGAGCCCCUCCCACUGACAGAGCAAGGCAGAAGUGUCCCCCAGGGGAGGGGACCCAGCUUUGCACGUCAUUCGUGCCCAUCUGCUGCUGCAUCACACCUGUGGCGGCAGGAUCAUCCCAUGGCUGAUUCCAAGCAGGGCGGGGUGCCGCAGGGUUGGGGCUCCACUGGCCCUGGCCUCGGCAUCCCAGAGGGGCCCCUACACUUUUGAGUGUCUUGCCCUGGCUCCCAGCCCCAAGUCCCCAUACUGAAGAGGAGCCCCUGGGGGGAUGGUAGACUUCGCAACCCCAAAUUAAGACGCGAGGUCUGAAGCAGAAUUUGGGGGAUUUGUGAUACCAUGCUGAAGACACACAAAAGGGAUCUCAUUUUGCAUAUGACGAGGAACUGCUUUUCUUGGUAAGAAAAGUCAUGAUGCGAUCAAAUCUGGACAGAAGGGUGCUGGACACAUAUGAGGGCCCAUGACGUAGCUUGACCCUGGACCAGCCCUGUCCCUGUCACCACCUGGUCCUGUCAGGCCCCUGUGGUAAGCAGUGGUUGGGUUCUGGAAUCAGUUGGAAUCCGGCUGACAGGAUCCUCUGAGGGAUGGGACAUGGGGUCUAAGAGAAAAGACGCAGACACCACGCCAAGGUUUUGGUCUGAGCGACGGAAGGGGUGGAGUUACCACAGACCAAGACAGAGAAUGCAUUUCGUUGUACAUUCGACAGACUGGUUUUCUUAUGGAAGUCCAGGAACUGGAAAUGGCUGAAACUGAGCAGGGCCUCUGUGGGGUCCCUGCCCACAAGGACCUCUGGGUCAUCACACCCCCACUACAGGCCUAGAGGUUCCCACGAGGCCCUGGUGCAGAAACAGGGCAGCUCACCUUCCUGCCUUGGGUCUGGGGGAGAGGCGGCAGUGGGGAAAGGGUCUGACCCUCCCGAGUGCCCUGGGCUGGCACAGGAGACCGGGGCCCGGGAUGGCAGUGGCGUGAGUGGGCUUCUGUCUACACAGACCUGCCUUUGGCCCACAGAGGCCCUUUCUCCUCAGACCUGGUGCACUGUUGCAGCCAGCGCCUUCUGGAGGAAGCAUCCGCAGGAGCCCAGGACUAUAUGCUUUGAUGCUCCGGCCAUGAAGCCCUGCAGGCCUGGCUGGCCAGAGGCGUGCCCGCGCAUCCCGGCGAGCAAGCGCCUGGGGACUCAGGGCCGGAGAGGCUGUGAGGGUGGCUUUGUGCGGCUGAUCAGGUUGGCCCUGCCAAGUCCCUGCUAGGAGAGGCCAGUUUGGCUGCCAAGCCUCCUGAACUUAGGUUACCUGAGAAAGCAGCCUCGAAGCCAUCUGUUUCUUGUUGCUUCGCAUGCCGUGGGCCUGCAUGACCCAGGGGCCAAACGCCCUGUCGCCCCACAUCAGCAGAGAUGAGGGACGAGAAGACAGAGCUGUGGGAAGAGUCAGGAGGACCAGUGUUUGUGAGAAGAGAGGUUCCCGGGCACCUCUCCAGCCCUGCAGAACCUGUGUCUCGGAAUAUUUACCGAGCUCCCCUGGUGGUCUGAUGGGGGCCGGGGGCUGGGAGUCCUGGCAUAGAGAAUGAAUGUUCUGUGAGACAUCUGGAGAGACAGCAUACUCAAGGAGUGUCAGAGAUGGGUCAUACAGUUCAGGGGGGUGGUGGGAUUAGGAGGAGUGCUCUGGUUGUCCGAACACAAGAGAUCAUGGAUCUUUGAGCGGUCUCCAGGGGGCAUUUGGGAGGUGGGAGGUGGGAGCUGGGGUUAGGGUGGGCCCGAGGUAGGGAAUGGAAUCUCUUGGGUGGUGAUGGUGGGGGUUGUACCCUGGAGCUGGUCUGUAACCUGUGACCUGCUCCUUCCCCCUGUAAACUCUUAACCCCGAUCUGGAGGUGAUCCCCAAGGGUAGGGCUCACCUGUCCAGAACUACACCGAAUAAAUAAAUGUGGUCUGUCCAGAUUUUAUCUCUUCAGGAUUCCAGAGCACAAGACAAAUGGCCUCAUGUCCGGCAGGGAGGUGUAAUUCAUCCUCUGGGGUGAGCCCCAAGCCUGGGGGUAGGGUGGGGAGGGGAGAGGUGGUUGGUUUGGAGCACGUGGGACAUGCAGACACGGGGGCCAGCAGGCCCUGGAGCUCUGUGUGCAGGGCUCAGCUCUGAGACCUUCGGAAGAACCCUGCCUUCCCAGGGCUUGCGCAGGGAUGGAAACCAAAGCUAGCACCCUAUUUCUGAGGCUCAUUCUGGGGUAAUACACAAGGGUGUGUAAAGAUUUAGUCACAGGGUUGUACUUUGCUGUGUUCCUUUAUAAGCCUGAAAAACUGGAAGCAACCUAAACGUUCAACAAGAGGGGACUGGUUAAAUGAAUUCGGAACCAUCCAGAAAAUAAAAUACAAUGCAGUCUUUAAAAGAUGAUGCUUAAAGGGUGCCUGGGUGGCUGAGGCAGUUGAGUGUCCGACUCUUGAUU